rnacentral:rRNA from 1 species
GACAGAGGGGGCAAGCGUUGCUCGGAAUCACUGGGCGUAAAGCGCACGUAGGCGGACUCUUAAGUCAGGGGUGAAAUCCUGGAGCUCAACUCCAGAACUGCCUUGAUACUGGGAGUCUUGAGUUCGGGAGAGGUGAGUGGAACUGCGAGUGUAGAGGUGAAAUUCGUAGAUAUUCGCAAGAACACCAGUGGCGAAGGCGGACUCACUGGCCCGAUACUGACGCUGAGGUGCGAAAGCGUGGGGAGCA